rnacentral:rRNA from 1 species
AACGUAGGGGGCAAGCGUUGCCCGGAUUCACUGGGCGUAAAGCGGGUGUAGGCGGUUCAUUAAGUCGGACGUGAAAUCCCACGGCUCAACCGUGGAACUGCAUCCGAUACUGGUGAACUUGAGGACGGUAGAGGUCGGUGGAAUUCCCGGUGUACCGGUGAAAUGGGCAGAUAUCGGGAGGAACACCAGUGGCGAAGGCGGCCGACUGGGCCGAUCCUGACGCUGAGACCCGAAAGCUAGGGUAGCGAACCGG